rnacentral:lncRNA from 1 species
GGGGCAUAACUUUUUGUUUGAAAUUUCUUUGGCUAAGUCUUGCCUCUAAAGCAAGCGUUAUAAAACAUCUCAUAAAUCAAAAUAUAAUGUGCUAGUAUCAACUCUUGCCCAUGGGACACACUUGUUGUUUGAAAGUCCUUGGGUUAAGUCUUGCGUCUAAGAUAAGAGUAAUAAAACAUCUCAUAAAUCAAAACACAAUGUGCUAGUCUCAACUUGUAUCCAUGGGCGUAACUUGUUAUUUGCAAGAAAUCAAGGAAAAGAAAAGAAAAAAACAAAGGUUACGGAAAAAGAAAAAAUAAAGAAAAAAAUAAAGGUUGAUGAAAUUAAUAAAAACAUAAUAAAAAUUAAAGAAAAUAAAAAAG